AAUUUUUUGUCUUCCAGAGAAAUCAGAAAGAUUAAAUGGAGGAACAAAACCAAGACCAGAUGUGAUUAUGAUCAUUUCUGUUCUGUGUAUUGGCAUUAUAUUUUCAUUGGUUGUAAGUUCAUUCAACAGUCAUAAUUAACGUGUACUUCAUAUUUUAAUUAAGUGACAGCCUCUAAUUAAAUGCUGUAACUUUGUUUUACAGAACUCUGCCACAGCGUGUUUUUAAGGGUUUUUUGUCAUCACUCACGUCCCAGUUCCUGUACUCGACGUCAUCUGCACAGCUUCCUGGGAAUGUCUGUAUGGCACCUGUACUUAUUAAUUUAUUGUUGUGCUCACUCUCAUUAAUCUACUGAACCCAUCAAAACUUUUUCCACAGUCGUGCAAAUGCCAGCAAGCACUGACAAGUAAAAGCUCUCUAUUAUAGGUGACCUACUGUGGUGGAGGUAGAAGCCAAUGAUGAGUUCUGCUACUUGUGUUACAGUAUUUUGAGGUGUACAAAAGUAUACAAAAGGCUGUGAAAUUGCUUGAAAAGUUCACACCCACUCUGCUCAAAACAGGAAAUAUAAAAUUGCAAACCCAAUAUAAAUAUUAUAAAAUGAAUAACACCAUGAAUGAAACCAAUGUACACAGUAAAAUUAGCAGUAUAUGGAGAUGCUUGUGUACAGAUAUGUUUGGUUUUUGCACUACUCACAGAACACGUUAAAACACACUGUUUACUUGGGUCUCAGUCACUGUGGAGUGUUAACAUUUCUGUUUUGUGUAGCUCUUUGCUAAAGAGUGACAAAGAUGUGUGCCUUAUUAGCCAUUAUAUGCUACUUACAAUUGAAAUACCUACUGUUGUUAAAUAACAAUUAUGAAAAAUCUGAAAUUAAAAACAAAUAAAUACAGGUAUGAAAUAAAUCUGUGUAUAUAUGGAUUGCAUUGUGUGUUUUUUUAAAGCACUGUAUACAUUUAUGCAUUAAUAAUAUAAUGUAUCUGGGUGAUGUUAUGAUAUUGCCUCAAUAGUUAGUAAAAUAUUAAUAUCUUUUAUUUUUACAGGCUUUUAAUUGAGACCAGACAGUAGAGAGACGACAGGAAAGCACUGGUUGGGGAGAACGGAGCGGGAUCAGCAAAGUACAUCAAAACCCUUUCACACCAAAAGUGAAAUGAAUAAGUGAAAUGAAGGAAAUGUAAUUUCACGUCUAUACAGUAGAGGGCCGCGCAGCUCAAACAAAUUGUUCAGCUAUGGAUUGCAGAAGAAGAAAGUUCUCUGACUAGUAACUUUAAAAAUGUAAACUCUAACUCUCAUUACUUGUAAUGUGUUACCACUAAGACUCGUUACUUUGCUAAUUCACUACUCAACUAGGCACUGGAAAAGGCAGAUGUUUAAAAAAAUCUUAUAAUAAUGUUAUAAUAUAAAGGCACCUACUUGUGAUAUUAUAUAUAUAUAUAUAUUUUAACUUCUCAUGAUGUGACUAUGCUGGCUAAAUUGUGGAUCAUUUAUUGCUUCUUUGGCAGAACAUGCAUUCAGUGACUACAUCUUUCCAGUGGUGGACAGUAGCCAAGUACAGUAUGUUUACUCUGUUAGGGGAGAGCUGGGAUGAUUGCAGAAGAUUUUACAUUUCCUCCAGGUGCUGUUUGUAUUGAAAAGGGACUGCUUGUAUUAGAAAGGCAAAAUUGACCUGAAACCCACAUCUGUCAGCUGUACACCCACACUGUAAUGAUAAACAUACCAUUUAUUUUUGAAUUGACAGUGUCAAAUGUUGACCCCAUAAAAGAACUGACCAUAUAACAGGCAGGAAUAAUGUUCUGUCCCACUCUAAUCUUAUCUGAGACAACUGUGCUUCCUCAUCCUCGUCUUCCUCUUACUAUCUUGAUAUCACUAUGUUACAUGUACCACCCCAGUGAAAGCUUUUCCACUGCACAGACGUGUCUUUAGUGUCUUGUUUGGCUCGUCACUUCACAAAAAUAACUGAAAGGUUCUUUAGAGAGCCAUGCUGCCAGGAAUAGUUAUAUUUAUACUGCUGUCUUUGACUUCCUCUGCUUGUUGUGGCUAAAAGACCUCUCUUAAUCUCAAGGUUUCAUCUCAAGAGCAGUGUGAAGCAAGACUGCAUCAUGUUGAAGAUCUUACCGCUUCAGCUCUAUCUACUAACAUGGUGUCAAGUUGCAAAUAUUUUAACAAAUCAGAUAACAGAUUUGGGUCAAAGUGUGACCAUAAACUGUGGUCUUGACUUAAAGGAGGUGACAUGGUUUGUACUAAAUUUACCAGAUCCUCCGGUUCUGAUAUUACGCUCCUUUUCAAACCCACCAGCAACAUUUUACUUCAAUAAUAGAUUCAGACAGAAAUAUUCAGUGCAGCCUAAACAUAAUCUGUUCAUAAAUAAUGUCAGUAUUGAUGAGUUAGGAGUUUAUUACUGUACAAACAUAGACAGAACUGCACAAUUCAGCAACAGCACCAGACUUGAUUGGACCACACGGAUCCUUGUCCCAACUCAACCUUCAGAGUGUCAGAAUCACACUGUAGUGGUGCAGCCUACACAGCCGACAUUGUGGCAGACUGUUACUGUCAUAUUUGGUCUGAUCAUUGUUGUUCUGGUAAUUGGGUUCAUAGGCCUAUGUAAGUUUUUUUGCUGGUCGCAGUAACAAACACCCACAACAACGAAGAAACUGACCUUCUGCAGCUUCGACUGAUAGAUCCUGAAUACGCUGACCUGAUGUCUCUUUUUCACAAGGUGUUUUCCCAGUGUCCAGACAACUGGCAAAAAAUGUAAAUAUGUCCCAGUUUCAUCUAUAAGGGUCACUGGGUUCAAUUUACAUAGAACAGAAGCCCAACAUAAAUUUUAUAAUAUAGCCAUUAUUUCAUGUUGUUUAAUAGCAUACUUUGUAAAAGAUUGUAUAAACGUGUUUGUAAUGCAUUUUCAACUAGUCGUGUUCAUUGCUUUGUUAUCGCAGCAAAAAUAAAUUCAGAGCUGCUUUUACAGGAAAUUACUUUGUAAUCUGGUCACCAAGACAGCUUUGUGUGUGUGAUGCCACUCUUUGAAAUUAUAA